CGGAGCUAAUACCGCAUAUAACCGCAAGGUAAAAGGGUGUAACUACCCGCUAGAAGAGCGGCUCGCGUCCCAUCAGCUUGUUGGUAGGGUAAUGGCCUACCAAGGCAACGACGGGUAGCUGGACUGAGAGGUUGGCCAGCCACAAGAGCACUGAGACACGGGCUCUACUCCUACGGGAGGCAGCAACCGGGAAUCGUAGACAAUGGGCGAAAGCCUGAUCUCGCGACGCCGCGUGGAGGAUGAAGGCCUUCGGGUUGUAAACUCCUUUUAUAAGGGAAUAAGUUCCGAUUUAUCGGGAUUGACUGUACCUUACGAAUAAGCCGCUGCAAACUACGUGCCAGCAGCCGCGGUGAAACGUAGGCGGCAAGCGUUACCCGGAAUUACUGGGCGUAAAGAGUGCGCAGGUGGUAUGGUAAGUUUUCGUUAAAAUACACUGGCUCAACCAGUGGACCGCGAAAAUACUGCCGUACUUGAGAAAGUUAGGGGGUACCGGAACAGAUGGUGAAGCAGUGAAAUGCGUUGAUAUCAUCUGGAACACCCAAGGCGAAGGCAGGUACCUGGGGCUUUUCUGACACUGGUGCACGAAAGCGUGGGGAGCGAACGGGAUUAGAUACCCCGGUAGUCCACGCCGUAAACUAUGGACACUAGAUAUCGGGCUGGUGAC
rnacentral:rRNA from 1 species